rnacentral:rRNA from 1 species
UGACCGGGAUGAGCUCAAAUUUAAAAUCUGGCGUCUUUCAGGCGUCCGAGUUGUAAUCUAUAGAGGCGUUUUCCGCGCCGGACCGCGUCCAAGUCUCUUGGAAUAGAGUAUCAAAGAGGGUGACAAUCCCGUACUUGACGCGACAACCGGUGCUCUGUGAUACGUUCUCAAUGAGUCGAGUUGUUUGGGAAUGCAGCUCUAAAUGGGUGGUAAAUUCCAUCUAAGGCUAAAUAUUGGCGAGAGACCGAUAGCGAACAAGUACCGUGAGGGAAAGAUGAAAAGCACUUUGGAAAGAGAGUUAAACAGCACGUGAAAUUGUUAAAAGGGAAACGAUUGAAGUCAGUCGUGUGAAAGGUAUUCAGCCGUCUCUGGCGGUGUAUUUGCCUUUCACGGGUCAACAUCAGUUUGAUCCGGUAGAAAAAGGCGGGAGGAAGGUGGCACCCUCGGGUGUGUUAUAGCCUCCUGUCAUAUGUGCCGGACCAGACUGAGGAACGCAGCUUGCCGCAAGGCCGGGGUUCGCCCACGUACAAGCUUAGGAUGUUGACAUAAUGGCUUUAAACGACCCGUCUUGAAC